rnacentral:pre_miRNA from 1 species
AAAGUACUCCCUCCGUUCGGAAUUACUUGUCCAAAAAAUAAAUGCAUCUAGAUGUAUUUUAGUUGUAGAUACAUCCAUUUUUGUGAUAAAUAAUUCCGAACGGAGAGAGUACAAA